rnacentral:rRNA from 1 species
UCUACGGGGGGCAGCAGUGAGGAAUAUUGGUCAAUGGGCGGAAGCCUGAACCAGCCAAGUCGCGUGAGGGAAUAAGGCCCUACGCGUCGUAAACCUCUUUUGCCGGGGAGCAAGGGCCGGGACGCGUCCCGGCCCGGAGAGUACCCGGAGAAAAAGCAUCGGCUAACUCCGUGCCAGCAGCCGCGGUAAUACGGAGGAUGCGAGCGUUAUCCGGAUUUAUUGGGUUUAAAGGGUGCGUAGGCGGGCUUUUAAGUCAGCGGUAAAAAUUCGGGGCUCAACCCCGUCCGGCCGUUUAAACUGGGGGC